GCCACCUUUCUCCCUCCGCCAGUCCGCCUCCGUGCUGCAACGCUUCUCCCUCUCCCUCUCCUCCUCACGCCGCCAGCAGAUCCAUCGCUGAACGCUCGGAUCCCGGGCCCUCCCUGUCGGAUCCGUCGCCUGCCGUCCCGGGAGGGCAGUUCCCGCUCUUCCCGGCUGGGGCACGGCGGCUGCGAGGCCAGGGUGCCGCCGCCAUCUCACGGGCGGCGCGGCUGCAGCUCGCCCCGGGUGCGGCCUCUACUGCACGGCUGCCUGCCUUCUCGCCGCGUGGUGAUGUGCGCAUGGUGGCUGCUCCCUGCUGGAUCCGCAACCGGACGCUGCCUCCCUCUCACGGCUCGCCACCACCCACCGCCUGCUCCCUGCUGGAUCCGCCGCAUCCAGGCCCGCAGGCGCCCGCUCGCCGCGCCUGCCAAGCUGCCGCAACGGCGCAGCCUGGAGUGCCGCCAGCGCCGGACCGCUCCCAGAGGGGCAAAGGCUGCGCAGCCUGCAGUGCCUGCCGCCGUGCCGCCCCCAAUCUAACUGGCUGCCAACCAAAGUAAAGGUAAAUCCCCUUCUUAAAUCUUAACCCUAGCCUGUAGUCUACAGAUUAGUAGAUGAGAUGUCGCAUAUAGAUUACGCGCCGAUAUGCUUGGGCCUCGAGGAUUUCUACACGCGCUGUCUCUAUCUCCGCAUACAGGAGAGGCGAUUGCCUCAGUUUCCAGAACAAUAAUAGUUCCCCCCACCGCUGGCUGCAAUGCUCAAUUAUUUCUUACUGUUGUUUGUUAUUUCUGAUGCAUUCCUUUCUGAUUUGACCGACCAAGCAAUAGAUAACAAGUAUUUUGACUCCCUUGGUACAUAGACGUCCUGCAUUUAAGUGCCUGUAGGAUGCUGGUGUGUGCUCACUCCAAAGACGUCCUACCACCAAGGCUAGUUGUUGAGUGCUGGUAGAAAGGAUACCCGUGAGAUGGAUCUGCUAGUAUUAAGUGCUAGUUAACUUAUUCAUUGUGCUCUCUGCAGAUAUUUGAUUAUUAAGUACUAGUUAACAAAAAAGUAGCUCUUGUGAGAUUGACUUGAUGGCAUGCUUGAAACCGAUCACAUUUUUUUCAUGGCAUAUAUUUGAUUAUUGUUUGUUUACUGGUUAUAGCAUUUGAGAGUGAUCUCUUGGUCAGUUCAAUUCCCGUUGCCUAUUGUUUCCUUCAUAUUUUGAAGUCUACCAUUUAUCUGUGCAUAUUUUUUAUACCAUGCCAGGAUGCUAAUGUAAAUUCAGUAAUGAAGCUAGUUUUCUUUGGUCUACCCUGGUACCCCAAAACAAAGGUAUGAAAGCAUAUUUGUUAUUUCAGCUUUAACUUCUCCAGCAAACCAUGCCCAAUUGAUUAGCAGGAGGUCUGAUCCUGCAAUACAAAAGCUAUUGUAGGUCACCGUGCCCUUUUCUUCUCGUUCUUAUUAUCAGAUUUUGCUUCAUGUAGCUAACGAUAGGUUUUUGUUUUGGAGGAGGGAAGUGCUGUUCUGGGUCUGUUGCUGCUCGACAAAGGGAAGCAACGCCUUUUAGGCUUUAGGUUAGGUAUGCAAUUAAAAGCUGAGAAGGAUGCAAAAUUUGAGCUCGUGCUUGAAACAUGGCUUCGCGUGAAGCUACUUUUUGGCAGUAUUGCCAGAUUUUGUGCUAGAUUAACUAGACUUAAACUUAUUUCUUGCUGGAUCAAAUAACUUUGAUGUUGUAUGUAUGUGAUGAGAUGUUGGAUCAGAAUUUAUCUAUAUAUAUGAGCUGGUUUAUAUCU